rnacentral:rRNA from 1 species
CUAGAUGGCGGGGUAAUGGCCCACCAUGGCUACGAUGGUUAGCUGGUCUGAGAGGACGACCAGCCACACUGGAACUGAAACACGGUCCAGACUCCUACGGGAGGCAGCAGUGGGGAAUAUUGCGCAAUGGGCGAAAGCCUGACGCAGCAACGCCGCGUGAGUGAAGAAGGCCUUCGGGUUGUAAAGCUCUGUCAGAGGGAAAGAAUAUUGCUGGCAACACCAGCAUUUGACGGUACCCUCGAAGGAAGCACUGGCUAACUCCGUGCCAGCAGCCGCGGUAAUACGGAGAGUGCAAGCGUUGUUCGGAAUUAUUGGGCGUAAAGCGCGUGUAGGUGGCUUGACAAGUCUGAUGUGAAAGCCCAGGGCUCAACCCUGGAAGUGCAUUGGAAACUGUCGAGCUUGAGUACUGGAGGGGGAAGUGGAAUUCUCGAGUGUAGAGGUGAAAUUCGUAGAUAUUCGGAAGAACAUCAGUGGCGAAGGCGACUUCCUGGACAGAUACUGACACUGAGACGCGAAAGCGUGGGUAGCAAACAGGAUUAGAUACCCUGGUAGUCCACGCUGUAAACGAUGGGUGCUAGUUGUCGCGGGUAACCAACCCUGCGGUGACGAAGCUAACGCGAUAAGCACCCCGCCUGGGGAUUACGGCCGCAAGGCUAAAACUCAAAGGAAUUGACG